AGCACAAUAUUCGGGUCGGAGUGACCCGAUUUUCCAGGCUCUAAGACAAUGGAAAAUUAUAUGAGAACAAGGGGUCAUGAUUUCUAGAGUGUGGAAGGAACCAUCAUUUCAGAAUCCACUGUCAUCCUUGAAGAAGUCAGGCCCUCAUUCAAGAUCAUUUGUUAUCAGAGACUGCUGAAGAGAAGUACAUGGUACCUUGAAGUGGUUUUAAUUAAAUCAAGAAACUUUAUGAGGCAGUGGGGUAGAAACUUGGCAGAAAACUCCUGUAAUUAUAAAACUUCCAGCUAUUUUCUAUGUACAAGAGCUAAAGACUGAACAUCUCUUUGCUUCAGAUUUUUUUUAUUUUUGGUAAAAUAUUGCAAUCCUUUAUGCGUGCAGGGGGUUGGGGCGGUUGAGUCACUUUAUUUUGGUUAGGCAUAGGUGAGGGCAAGCCCUCUGCUGAAAUGGAGAUUGCAGUGACUUUCUGGCUCUGAGGAGAAAAACAUUUUCAUUGGAGAGAAAUGAAUCACAUUAGGGAGAAACUAUUUUCAAGGGAGUUAAAUCUGAGCUGAUGGGAAAGAUAAACAGUGUGGGAGAGCACACCAUUCUUCACACCUCUUCAGAUAACCCAGAUUACUCUGACAAUACAAAGACUGGCAGCUUUGGAAACCCUGAGACACACUAUUUUGGUGUUUACAGUGGUGUUCUCACAAUGGUCAAUCAACAAUGUCUGUGGAUCUGCAAGCAGAUUUAUAGCCAAAGAGAAUGGACAAUAGGAGCUGGAGCUGAAAAGCAAGAUGGAAGGCACUGAAUAUGGAUGGCAAGCUGCCAGACUAGUUUUGGUUUUAUGCCCAGCUUCCUUUUGGAGGCUCUAACCCUUAGCUAUUAGAUGCUCUGAAG
rnacentral:lncRNA from 1 species